CAAUAUGGGUCUGGUGACAAUGUGUCUAUCAUUCAAAGCCCUUCUCCUAAUGCCUAUGGCCCCCACACUCCCACCUCCAAACAAGAAGACAGAGGAUUGUCCCUAGCUAAGUGCAGAGAGGCUCAUCAUAUCAUCAGGUCAGGAAAGUGAGCAAAGCAGAGCCCCAGAAUCCUCAGCUUGGCAUCAAUACCCUGAGGAGCAAGAAGUGACCUUUAGCAGCUACCUUUGGGACCCAGCUCUGUAGCAGCUGAUAGAAGGACUCAUCCUCAGAUCAGUGAUCAAAGUGAAGUUGGUAGAAUUGAGCUACAUUUGAGUCCACUCUUCCCAGAGACCAAGGGCUUUGUUGCUCUGUUGUAUUCUCUACUUCCUGAAGGUGUCAUGGAAUCACAAGGUGCAAGGCAAGGGGACCACAAUAUCUGCACUCUAGGAGAAAGUAUGCCCCACCUCCACGUCAACACCUGGGACAAA